UGGGCUAUAGCCAAGCGGUAAGGCAAUGGACUUUGACUCAUCACGCGCUGGUUCGAAUCCAGCUAGCCCAG
rnacentral:tRNA from 1 species